rnacentral:tRNA from 1 species
GGGCGGUUAACUCAGUUGGUAGAGUAUCUCGUUUACACCGAGGCUGUCGGGGGUUCGAGUCCCUCACCGCCCAUCA